GCCGAGCUAAUUAACGCAAGCUUAUAACCCAAGUGGGGGCAUCAAAGUGUUGGAACGCUGGUCUGGUCUCAGCUGGUCGGGUCUGUCGUGGCUCUAUUCUGGCCCGCCCGCUCCAAGCCGGGAGUUGAGCCGUGUGGAUUGGGCGAAGGCUCAGGCUUCACGGUUCCUAGAGCGGAGGGCACCGCGUAAGGCUGGCUUCACAGAGCAACGAUCACCUCCCGCCCUUGGCAGUGGAAGGAUAACGGGUCGGUGCCACCCGGAUCCAUCAUGCCCCGCUGGACCGUUCCAAUUGAACCAACGCUUUUU
rnacentral:SRP_RNA from 1 species